UACGUAGGUUGCGAGCGUUGUCCGGAUUUACUGGGCGUAAAGAGCGCGCAGGCGGUCGUGCAAGUCGGAUGUGAAAGCCCCCGGCUCAACUGGGGAGGGUCAUUCGAUACUGCUCGACUUGAAGGCGGGAGAGGGAAGCUGAAUUCCCGGUGUAGUGGUGAAAUGCGUAGAUAUCGGGAGGAACACCAGUGGCGAAGGCGGCUUCCUGGCCCGUUCUUGACGCUGAGGCGCGAAAGCUAGGGGAGCAAACGGG
rnacentral:rRNA from 1 species